UCGUUCUUUUGGCGUCUAUUUUAUGUAC
rnacentral:sRNA from 1 species